AUUGAACGCUGGCGGCAGGCCUAACACAUGCAAGUCGAGCGGAUGACGGGAGCUUGCUCCUUGAUUCAGCGGCGGACGGGUGAGUAAUGCCUAGGAAUCUGCCUGGUAGUGGGGGACAACGUUUCGAAAGGAACGCUAAUACCGCAUACGUCCUACGGGAGAAAGCAGGGGACCUUCGGGCCUUGCGCUAUCAGAUGAGCCUAGGUCGGAUUAGCUAGUUGGUGAGGUAAUGGCUCACCAAGGCGACGAUCCGUAACUGGUCUGAGAGGAUGGUCAGUCACACUGGAACUGUGACACGGUCCAGACUCCUCCGGGAGGCAGCGGUGGGGCAUAUGGGUCAAUGGGCGAAAGUCUGAUCCAGCCAUGCCGCGUGUGUGAAGAAGGUCUUCGGAUUGUAAAGCACUUUAAGUUGGGAGGAAGGUCAGUAAGGUAAUACCUUGCUGUUUUGACGUUACCGACAGAAUAAGCACCGGCUAACUUCGUGCCAGCCGCCGCUGUAACAC
rnacentral:rRNA from 1 species